UUUUUUCACGUUUUUGAAACGUUUGCUCUACUAGGGCUUUUCUUAACCCUUUUUUGCGCCGUCGUUCAUCCGUCCCUUCACCAAAACUCCGAUUGCGACGGAGAUGGUGGUGGCACGGCGGCUUCGACGAAAGGAGAACAUGGGAGUACGGCGCGCAUGGAGGAGGCCGGUUCCGAGACGUGCGAUGACUGGGGUCUUUCUGGAAGCUGUUUUAGUUUUAGGGUUUCGAUGAUUUUGGUGGUUGGGCUAUUGGGCUUUAGGUUUAGUUUUAUUGGGCCGUACAGGGCCUUUGUAAUUUGGAAUGUAUUUUAUUAUUUUUGGGUUUUAACCGGGCCCGGGCAAAAUGGGCCAUUACAAUAACUUAUUCAAUAAUUUUACAAUAACUAA